rnacentral:rRNA from 1 species
CUACGGGGGGCACCAGUGAGGAAUAUUGCACAAUGGGGGGAGCCCUGAUGCAGCAACGCCGCGUGGAGGAUGACGCAUUUCGGUGUGUAAACUCCUUUUAUAUGUCAAGAAAAUGACGGUAGCAUAUGAAUAAGCACCGGCUAACUCCGUGCCAGGCAGCCGCGGUAAUACGGAGGGUGCAAGCGUUACUCGGAAUCACUGGGCGUAAAGGACGCGUAGGCGGGUUGGAAAGUCAGGUGUGAAAUCCUACAGCUUAACUGUAGAACUGCACUUGAAACUUCUAAUCUAGAGUAUGGGAGGGGGAGAUGGAAUUAGUGGUGUAGGGGUAAAAUCCGUAGAUAUCACUAGGAAUACCUAAAGCGAAGGCGAUCUCCUGGAACAUUACUGACGCUAAGGCGUGAAAGCGUGGGGAGCAAACAGGAUUAGAUACCCCUGUAGUC